AUUGAACGCUGGCGGCAGGCUUAACACAUGCAAGUCGAACGGAACCUUCGGGUUUAGUGGCGAACGGGUGAGUAAUACCUAGGAAUCUGCCUAUUAGUGGGGGAUAACGGCUCGAAAGGGUCGCUAAUACCGCAUACGUCCUACGGGAGAAAGAGGGGGAGUCUUCGGACCUCUUGCUAAUAGAUGAGCCUAGGCCGGAUUAGCUAGUUGGUAGGGUAAAGGCCUACCAAGGCGACGAUCCGUAGCUGGUCUGAGAGGAUGAUCAGCCACACUGGAACUGAGACACGGUCCAGACUCCUACGGGAGGCAGCAGUGGGGAAUAUUGGACAAUAGGGGGCGGAACCCUACGAUCCACGCCACUGCCGCCGUGUGUGAAGAAGGACC
rnacentral:rRNA from 1 species